UUUUUUCGAUGGUUUAUAAUUCUUUUUUAAUUGCUUACAACUUUUUUUUUUUUUUUUUUAUCUAUAACAGCAAAACAAUUAGAUUCUAAAACAAACAUGUAUAAUCACCAGAUUGAUAUAUUUAUAAAAGAUUAUAAAACUUUCUUAAAUAUGUUUCAGUAUCACUAAAGAUUCGGAUGAGAUAUUAAUAAUAGGCAAUGUAUCAUAUGUCUUAUCAACUUCUUAUCCGACGACGACUACUGAAAUUUUAAUAGCUUUAGAGUUUUAAAUUUUUUAUUAAAAAUAAUAUACAAAAUAUAUAAUUAAUUUCUUAAUUAUAG
rnacentral:lncRNA from 1 species